rnacentral:rRNA from 1 species
GAUUAUGGCUCAGGAUGAACGCUAGCGGCAGGCUUAACACAUGCAAGUCGAGGGGCAUCGGGAGUAGCAAUACUUGCCGGCGACCGGCGCAAGGGUGCGUAACGCGUGAGCAACAUGCCCGUAUCAGGGGGAUAAUCCAUGGAAACGUGGUCUAAUACCCCAUAGUAAUUAUGUAAGGCAUCUUAUAUAAUUUAAAGCUUUGGUGGAUACGGAUUGGCUCGCGUGACAUUAGCUAGAUGGUAAGGUAACGGCUUACCAUGGCUACGAUGUCUAGGGGUUCUGAGAGGAAGGUCCCCCACACUGGAACUGAGACACGGUCCAGACUCCUACGGGAGGCAGCAGUGAGGAAUAUUGGACAAUGGAUGGAAAUCUGAUCCAGCCAUGCCGCGUGCAGGAAGACGGCCCUAUGGGUUGUAAACUGCUUUUGUAUGGGAGCAAUAAGGGCUACGCGUAGUCCGAUGAGAGUACCAUACGAAUAAGCACCGGCUAACUCCGUGCCAGCCGCCGC